AACAGAAACCCAACUUUCUCUCU
rnacentral:siRNA from 1 species